rnacentral:lncRNA from 1 species
AGAGAGAGAGAGAGAGAGAGAGAGAGAGAGAGAGAGAUGGUAUACACUUAAGAGGUGAUUGUAGAACUGAAGAGGAAGCACUUGGGAUGUUUCUCAGUGUCCUAAGUUGUAGAAAGGUUCUAAGAAUUAGGGAAAAGUGUUUGUGGAUGAAGAGUAAUUUGUUAAAGUUUGUGUCUUUGUUUUGAUUACUAAAGUUUGUGUCUUUGUUUUUAUUAAUGAGUUGUUUGAUUGUCUUACUAAAGGUCAUGUCUUUGUUUUGAUUAAUGAGUUGUUUUGAUGUUGAUAUACCAUGGAUUUUAGAUUUUUUAGCAAUCAUAUAUAAGUGUCUUAGAGUUAUUUGUUAUGUUUUGAAGUCUUUUUAGAGUAUUUAUAGAUUAAGGAGUGUUUUGGAGAUAUAAGGUGAUUUUGGGGUAUUUUGGAGCAAAAGCUAGAAGAAACUCUUAGCUGCCCAUCGAACCAGUCCCGAAUUGACAUUCAUAGUCAACCGUG